GACGAACGCUGGCGGCGUGCUUAACACAUGCAAGUCGAACGGAAAGGCCCUGCUUUUGUGGGGUGCUCGAGUGGCGAACGGGUGAGUAACACGUGAGUAACCUGCCCUUGACUUUGGGAUAACUUCAGGAAACUGGGGCUAAUACCGGAUAGGAGCUCCUGCUGCAUGGUGGGGGUUGGAAAGUUUCGGCGGUUGGGGAUGGACUCGCGGCUUAUCAGCUUGUUGGUGGGGUAGUGGCUUACCAAGGCUUUGACGGGUAGCCGGCCUGAGAGGGUGACCGGCCACAUUGGGACUGAGAUACGGCCCAGACUCCUACGGGCGACAGCAGUGGGGAAUAUUGCACAAUGGGCGGAAGCCUGAUGCAGCAACGCCGCGUGCGGGAUGACGGCCUUCGGGUUGUAAACCGCUUUCGCCUGUGACGAAGCGUGAGUGACGGUAAUGGGUAAAGAAGCACCGGCUAACUACGUG
rnacentral:rRNA from 1 species